AACGAACGCUGGCGGCGUGCUUAACACAUGCAAGUCGAACGCGAAAGGGACUUCGGUCCUGAGUAAAGUGGCGCACGGGUGAGUAACGCGUAGAUAACCUGUCUUCAUGUCUGGAAUAAUACACCGAAAGGGGUACUAAUACCGGAUAUUCUUGCUUUUCAUAAGUUAUGCAAGCAAAGGUGGCCUCUGCAUAUGCUACUGCAUGAAGAGGGGUCUGCGUACCAUUAGCUAGUAGGUGGGGUAAUGGCCUACCUAGGCGACGAUGGUUAGCGGGUCUGAGAGGAUGAUCCGCCACACUGGCACUGGAACACGGGCCAGACUCCUACGGGAGGCAGCAGUGAGGAAUAUUGCGCAAUGGGGGAAACCCUGACGCAGCGACGCCGCGUGAGUGAAGGAAGGCCUUCGGGUCGUAAAGCUCUGUCAAGAGGAAAGAAGUGUACAAUGGCUAAUACCUGUUGUAUUUGACGGUACCUCUAAAGGAAGCACCGGCUAACUCCGUGCCAGCAGCCGC
rnacentral:rRNA from 1 species